rnacentral:rRNA from 1 species
UACGGGGGGGGGCAAGCGUUUGUUCGGAAUUACUGGGCGUAAAGGGCUCGUAGGCGGCCAACUAAGUCAGACGUGAAAUCCCUCGGCUUAACCGGGGAACUGCAUCUGAUACUGGAUGGCUUGAGUUCGGGAGAGGGAUGCGGAAUUCCAGGUGUAGCGGUGAAAUGCGCAGAUAUCAGGAGGAACACCGAUGGCGAAGGCAGGUCUCUGGGCCACUACUGACGUGAGAAGCGAAAGCAUGGGGAGCGAACAGG